UAAUUUAAAGUCUAGCCUGCCCAAUGAUUAUUAAAUGGCCGCGGUAUUUUGACCGUGCUAAGGUAGCAUAAUCAAUAGUUUUUUAAUUGAAAGCUGGAAUGAAGGGUUGGAUAAGAAAAUAACUGUUUUUAUUUAAUUUAAUUAGAAUUUUAUUUUUAAGUUAAAAAGCUUAAAUUUUAUUAAAAGACGAGAAGACCCUAUAGAGUUUCAUAAAUAACUAUAUUAAUAUAUUAAGAAUUAAUUUUAUUAAUAAAUGUAUUUAUUUAAUUGGGGUGAUUGAAAAAUUAAAUAAACUUUUUUUAUAUUAAAACAUUUAUAAAUGAAAAUUUGAUCCAUGAUUAAUGAUUAUAAGAUAAAAUUACCUUAGGGAUAACAGCGUUAUCUUUUUUUAGAGUUCAAAUCGAAAUAAAGGAUUGCGACCUCGAUGUUGGAUUAAAAUUAAUUUUUGGUGUAGAAGCUAAAAUAUUAGGUCUGUUCGACCUUUAAAAUUUUACAU
rnacentral:rRNA from 1 species